GAUGAAGAACGCAGCGAAAUGCGAUAAGUAAUGUGAAUUGCAGAAUUCAGUGAAUCAUCGAAUCUUUGAACGCACAUUGCGCCCCCUGGUAUUCCGGGGGGCAUGCCUGUUCGAGCGUCAUUUCACCACUCAAGCCUCGCUUGGUAUUGCGCAACGCGGUCCGCCGCGUGCCUCAAAUCGACCGGCUGGGUCUUCUGUCCCCUAAGCGUUGUGGAAACUAUUCGCUAAAGGGUGUUCGGGAGGCUACGCCGUAAAACAACCCCAUUUCGAAGGUUGACCUCGGAUCAGGUAGGGAUACCCGCUGAACUUAAGCAUAUCAAUAAGCGGAGGA
rnacentral:misc_RNA from 1 species